AACAAAAACUAGAGGCUCUCAAGAGCCUGUGUCGCUCACCUUGGUCUAUGUGCAUAUUAAACAAUGGACACAGAUAAAUUCAUGACAAAAUUGUGUUUUUGUGAUCAUGAUGUGUUUGUAGAUCUUACUUUACUGGACAUUCUUCUUGCUACAAUUAUCUCUAUCUAUAAUGAACUUGACCCAGUAAUUACAGUGGAAAAUAUAUUCUAAAAAUUUACAAAAAUUUACAAAAAUUUAUGAAAAUUG
rnacentral:lncRNA from 1 species